GGAAAGCAGGCCAACCUCGAGGAUCUCCCCAGCCUUGGCGUUCAGGUGCUGAGGAGAUCGUCGAGGUUGGCCUGCUUCCC
ncrna:Homo sapiens (human) microRNA hsa-mir-3150b precursor